AGAGUUUGAUCCUGGCUCAGAUUGAACGCUGGCGGCAGGCUUAACACAUGCAAGUCGAACGGUAACAGGAAGAAAGCUUGCUUUCUUUGCUGACGAGUGGCGGACGGGUGAGUAAUGCUUGGGAAUCUGGCUUAUGGAGGGGGAUAACUACGGGAAACUGUAGCUAAUACCGCGUAGUAUCGGAAGAUGAAAGUGUGGGACCGCAAGGCCACAUGCCAUGAGAUGAGCCCAAGUGGGAUUAGGUAGUUGGUUAGGUAAAGGCUGACCAAGCCGACGAUCUCUAGCUGGUCUGAGAGGAUGACCAGCCACACUGGAACUGAGACACGGUCCAGACUCCUACGGGAGGCAGCAGUGGGGAAUAUUGCACAAUGGGGGGAACCCUGAUGCAGCCAUGCCGCGUGAAUGAAGAAGGCCUUCGGGUUGUAAAGUUCUUUCGGUGAUGAGGAAGGUGUUUGUUUUAAUAGAACAAACAAUUGACGUUAGUCACAGAAGAAGCACCGGCUAACUCCGUGCCAGCAGCCGCGGUAAUACGGAGGGUGCGAGCGUUAAUCGGAAUAACUGGGCGUAAAGGGCACGCAGGCGGUGACUUAAGUGAGAUGUGAAAGCCCCGAGCUUAACUUGGGAAUUGCAUUUCAUACUGGGUCGCUAGAGUACUUUAGGGAGGGGUGGAAUUCCACGUGUAGCGGUGAAAUGCGUAGAGAUGUGGAGGAAUACCGAAGGCGAAGGCAGCCCCUUGGGAAUGUACUGACGCUCAUGUGCGAAAGCGUGGGGAGCAAACAGGAUUAGAUACCCUGGUAGUCCACGCUGUAAACGCUGUCGAUUUGGGGAUUGGGCUUUGAGCUUGGUGCCCGUAGCUAACGUGAUAAA
rnacentral:rRNA from 1 species